GCGCACGCCUGACGUCAGCGGCCAGCGUGAGUCACGCGCGCAGGGAGAGCGCGAAGCGGCCUCUCCCUCCCCCCUUCUUCCUCCGGCCCGGCCCAGACCGGUUCCAACCUGCUGGGGCCGGUCCCAACUGCCUCCAACUGCCACCAACCUCUGGUCGGGCUGUGGGGCGGGAAACUCGGUCCCAGCGGCCGAGUGGGGAAGGCGGGCGCUGGGGAUGCGGAGUGCACACUUCUCUGGCCUGGCCUUCGAGGCCUGACUGUUGCUCAGACUAUAAAACCACAGUCCCAGGCACCUUUCGGGGCGACUAGAAGUCCACGACACCACCCAGACGAGUUCCAUAGGGGCCGGCCCUAGAACCGCUUGUGAAUGACGGUUUGCGUGAAGUCCUGUCAGGAGGCCCGGUGCAGCGUGCACCGGAGGCCUUUUGUGUCCUGAAGGCCCCUAGGUUGUCCAGGAGGAGCACCCUUGCUUGAUUUUGCUUAGAACAGUUGGCUGAGAAAAACACGCAAAACCCCUAGCAGGCUGUCCUGAUCCAGCCUCAGCCUGGGACCCCAAGGCUGAUGGCUGCCAAAUAUGACUAUAGAGCCCCCGCCCCCCCAAAUGUGGCAAUAGAGGGAAUUCCAGUUGUUGACACUGCAAGAUUGGCAAGAUGAAAAGCCCUGGAAAUCUGCUCGUGGCUACGUCUAUGUUAGAUACUAAAGAAGGCUUCCCCACAACCCAUAUGCAUCUGCUUUGACUGGUGGUUUCUAUCAUCCUACAAAGACUGUGACUUAUUGGUGAGGGCAGCUGGACAACUCUGAGAGCAUCUUAGAAAUCCAUCUUGGGCACAAUCUAUAAAGGAGCUCCUCUGGAAAUAGCACCCCAGAUAAGUGCACAAAAGCAAGACACCCUCGUGGACCUACUACCUCCCGCUUCCAACACCCUGAUGACUGAAGGAGGUUUUUCCACUAUCCUUAUGCUUCUUCUAAAUUUUGAAAUUGCAACUCUGGACAGUUAUGACUAAUCCUAGUAGAUUAUCUUCCCUUCUUUUAACAUCUUGGAUGCACUUGGGGCACACCAAUGUGUUAUGUGAAGAUGGAUGUUGAAUUUUGUAGAAUUUGACAGCAGUAUCAAGAGCUGAGGAGAAGGCGAAGAUGGAAAGGAGUCUAGCGACUUAAAAGUCACAUAGCAUUAUCUGUGAGGUGACCUUUUUCCUAUUGGUGGCUCAGUUUGUUUAGGAGAUAAAGAAGAUGCUAAGGCCUUUGGCAAUGUCAUCCUGUCAUAGCUGAAUUUAUUGAAAUGUUUCUUCCCUUUCCUUAUUCUUCACAUCAGUUUGCUUUUCAUGUUCAGAAUUUGACUCAUUUCUUUUCUGUUAGUGUUUGAAACACCAUACGGCCACCAUCAGUCCUAACAGUGACUUCUAAUAAGCAGGGGUGGUCCAGAUCCCAUCUUCCUAUAAAAUUUUGCCCUACUUUUAA